rnacentral:rRNA from 1 species
CACCAGCCCCUCGAGUGGUGGGGAUGAUUAUUUGGCCUAAAGCGUCCGUAGCCGGCCGGGUAAGUUUCCCGUUAAAUCCAACGUCUCAAGCGUUGGACUGCGGGAAAUACUGCCUGGCUAGAGAGUGGGAGAGGUCAGCGGUAUUCUGGGGGUAGGGGCGAAAUCCUUUGAUCCCCGGAGGACCACCAGUGGCGAAGGCUGCUGACUAGAACACGUCUGACGGUCAGGGACGAAAGCUGGGGUAGCGAACCGGAUUAGAUACCCGGGUAGUCCCAGCCGUAAACGAUGCAUGCUAGGUGUUGGGUUGGCCACGAGCCACCCCAGUGCCGCAGGGAAGCCGUUAAGCAUGCCGCCUGGGAAGUACGAUCGCAAGAUUGAAACUUAAAGGAAUUGGCGGGGAGCACCACCAGGCGUGAAGCCUGCGGUUU